rfam:Beta vulgaris subsp. vulgaris chromosome 9, whole genome shotgun sequence.
CCGGCCUUAGCUCAAAUGGAAGAGUGAGAGGUUUAGGCAGCUUGGUUGUAUAAACCAGAGGCUUGCUUAAUCCUUUUGGUUGCCGGUUCAAAUCCGGCAGGCCGGU